UACAGAGGUCUCAAGCGUUGUUCGGAUUCAUUGGGCGUAAAGGGCGCGUAGGCUGCGGGGCAAGUCGGGUGUGAAAUCUCGGAGCUUAACUCCGAAACUGCAUUCGAUACUGCCGUGCUUGAGGACUGGAGAGGAGACUGGAAUUUACGGUGUAGCGGUGAAAUGCGUAGAUAUCGUAAGGAAGACCAGUGGCGAAGGCGGGUCUCUGGACAGUUCCUGACGCUGAGACGCGAAAGCUAGGGGAGCGAACAGG
rnacentral:rRNA from 1 species